rnacentral:lncRNA from 1 species
AAAUCGGGGCCCGGUGGAUCCAAAUGUCGCGACUCAGUCUUCGUCCUUCGAUUCAGUUAUCUUGCACUUUUACUUCCGUCUCAUAUUUUAUUUAUGGGGUAGGUUUUUUGAGAACAUAUAUAUCUAUAUAGUCUAUAGUUAUUGAGAACUUAUAUUUUAGUACUACUAUAUAUCGUCGAGUUAUAUUGUGGUUGGAUUCGAUAAUUUCAUGUAAUGUGUCACGUUAAUGUGUCGCUGUUAAGUGUACUGUUUGCUGGAUAAUACUUUCUCAAUCUCUUUCAUUCAAUUCUUUUAACUGACUAUGUUACUUAAAUUUAAAGUUCUUACAUUCAAUUAAGGUAUUCAAUUUUGAAUUUUGUUUAUGAUUUUGAUCAGGCCAACGAUUUUCCAAAUCAAUCAGCACCAACCGGUCUAUACAAACAUCUAGAAUAAAAGAAGCCCCACCAUGUGAUAGUGUAGCACCAAUAUAGUAUUACAUGCGACCACUCACAUAAAAAUUUCCCACGUAUAUAUAGGUUGGUUAGCGGAUAACACAGAAUCACACCCCGAAAGUCCCACCAAAUAACCACAUUAUAAAUAAAAAUAAAACACACUCUAUCAUCUCCCCACCCGCCAAACUAAAUAUUUCAUGGGUCCAAAUAUAACGGGUAUUAAUUUUGUAGAAAGUCAAAUUUCUUUAAAUUUGACCCAAGUUCAAAGCAAAAAUAUCGACAUCUAUAAUAUUAAACAAAAAAGUAUGAAAAUUCAUUUCAGGAUGAAUUUAAAAAUACCAAUUUGAUAUUAUGGUAAAUUUCUCUACAAAUUUGAUCAAACUUAAAAGGUUUGACUUUUCAAAAGAAGUAAUACAUCUUAUAUUUCGAAAUUGAGUGAUAUAUUUUGAAGAAACACAACACCAACGGCUCGGUGAAGUGCGCCCAAUCCUUCUAUUUAAUACACUACGCUCCCUAAUUUUCAAGGCCUCACAAUCAAUUUAGGCCUUCAAUUUGGUAUUUGGUCACCCGAUUUUGACCAAGCCAAUUUUUUUCUCAAGGAGCUCGCCCAUUAAUUUCUUUUAAUUCAUGAUACUCACUAAUUUCGAAGCUCCCUCGUUCGAUUAAGUUCAAUUUUGGAUUUGGUUCACAAUUUUGACCAGCUCACCUGUUUUUGCAAUCAAUCUGCAGCAACCGGCCCAUAAAAACAUAGUCUUCCCACGUACCCUCGCACCACAUAGAAAAAAGAAAAGCCAAUAUGAGAUAUUGUAGCACCAAUAAAGUAUAUGCAAUCACCGAUGCGGAUUUUUUUAAGUUGAUUAGCAAAUAACACAGAAUGACACCGCCAUAGGCUCACCAAAACAACACAUUAUAAACAAAAAGAAAACGCACUCUAUCAUCUCCCCACUUGCCAAACCAAAUACCCCCUCGGUUUUAAAAAUGUAAGGUGUAUUAGUUUUUAGAAAAGCCAAAAACAUUGACAUCCACAAUACUAAAUGGAUAAAUACAAAAAUCAUUUAAUGAUGAAUCUAAUGAUAUGGAAUUGAUAUUACAGAUAUUGAUAUAUUUCUCUACAAAUUUGGUCAAACUUAAAGUGGUUAGAAUUUUCAAAAAAGCAACGCACCUUAUAUUUUGAUACAGAGGGGGUAGAAAAUUAUGAAAACCCAACAACAUCAAUGUCGUAGCAAAGCGCGUCCAAUACUUCUUUUUUUUGAGCAUCAGUACAGACACAAGCGCUCAUAUACACGCACAUACACUCACCCCUAUGAACGCAUACACGCACAUCCUACCCCUAUGAGCACCUCCAAGAGACUGAGCCGGCAUAUCAUCUUGAGAUUUACGAAGUCACCGUAGGCGUCUCGUCAUCGACGGGAACAUCUCCUCCCACUGAAAGCGCAUCGCCGGAAAUCCUGAAAUAAAUCCAGGAAUAAUGCGAGCACCAUGAUUCGAACCCUGGUGGGUUGGGGAUACCACUGUCCACCUAACCAUCUCAACCACAGGGUUAUUCACUCGCGCCCAAUACUUCUAGUAUUUACUAUUGCGUCUAGAAAAUUUUGUACAGAUUCACACCUCUUACCAAAAUCACCAUGUUUUUUUCCUAAAGAGUAUUUUCCCCCUUUUCCUUCACCUUGGACUUGUCUUUUUUUAUUGAGUAAAUUCUGUAUUUUACCCCUACUUUUUGGGUCAGUUGGUCUCGCGUUUCAGCGCUGACUUGGCAUGCAACAUAGACGGGCUUAUUUGGUUGGUUGAUUUUUAACUUGGUUUGUGUUAAGGAUUAAUUAAAUCCUAGUAAUCCAUGCUUAGAUUGGUUGUGUAGUUUAGCAACCAUUAGUUACUGUUGGGAAACGUAGCAUGCACUUUCAAAAAAUUUCCUACGCUCACGCGAGAUCCAUCUAUGAGAUGCAUAGCAACGAGAGGGGAGAGUGUGUCCACGUACCCUCGUAGACCAAAAACGGAAGCGUUUGCUAACACGGUUGAUGUAGUCGAACUUCUUCUCGUUCCGAUGGAUCAAGUACCGAAUGUACGGCACCUCCGAGUUCUGCACACGUUCAACGCGAUGACAUUCCUCGAGCUCUCGAUCCAGCAGAGUGUCGAGGAAGUAGAUGAGUUUCGUCAGCACGACGGCGUGCUGACGAUGAUGGUGUAGUGAUCCGCGCAGGGCUUCUCCUAAGCACUACGAGAAUAUGACCGGAGGCGUAAACUGUUGAGGGGGGCGCCGCACAUGGCUAGGAAUAGUUGAUGUGUGUUCUAGGCGCCCCCUCCCCAUGUAUAUAAAGGAGGGAGGGGGAGGGAGGCAGCCCUAGGCGUGCCCAAGUAGGAGGAAUCGUACUUGGGCUCGUGGUAGGAUUCACCCCCUCUUUCCUUUUACCGGAAGGGGAACACUACUAGGGAAAAGCUUAUACACAGACGCUUAGUAGUAGCGAGGGUUAAAAACCCGCGCUACUGCUAUCAACUUAGUAGUAGCGAGGUUUUUUAAACCUCNNNNNNNNNNNNNNNNNNNNNNNNNNNNNNNNNNNNNNNNNNNNNNNNNNNNNNNNNNNNNNNNNNNNNNNNNNNNNNNNNNNNNNNNNNNNNNNNNNNNNNNNNNNNNNNNNNNNNNNNNNNNNNNNNNNNNNNNNNNNNNNNNNNNNNNNNNNNNNNNNNNNNNNNNNNNNNNNNNNNNNNNNNNNNNNNNNNNNNNNNNNNNNNNNNNNNNNNNNNNNNNNNNNNNNNNNNNNNNNNNNNNNNNNNNNNNNNNNNNNNNNNNNNNNNNNNNNNNNNNNNNNNNNNNNNNNNNNNNNNNNNNNNNNNNNNNNNNNNNNNNNNNNNNNNNNNNNNNNNNNNNNNNNNNNNNNNNNNNNNNNNNNNNNNNNNNNNNNNNNNNNNNNNNNNNNNNNNNNNNNNNNNNNNNNNNNNNNNNNNNNNNNNNNNNNNNNNNNNNNNNNNNNNNNNNNNNNNNNNNNNNNNNNNNNNNNNNNNNNNNNNNNNNNNNNNNNNNNNNNNNNNNNNNNNNNNNNNNNNNNNNNNNNNNNNNNNNNNNNNNNNNNNNNNNNNNNNNNNNNNNNNNNNNNNNNNNNNNNNNNNNNNNNNNNNNNNNNNNNNNNNNNNNNNNNNNNCGCUACUACUAAGUUGAUAGCAGUAGCGCGGGUUUUUAACCCUCGCUACUACUAAGCGGUCUCUACCGUGCCCCCCGAGACAUGCCAUAGUAGUAGCGCGGGUUUGUAACACUCGCUACUACUAAGUUGAUAGCAGUAGCGUUGGUUUUUAACCCUCGCUACUACUAAGUGGUCUCUACCGUGCCCCUGGACCAUGCCAUAGUAGUAACGAUGGUUAUAAACCCUCGCUACUGCUAAGUUUUUACCCCUUGCUACUACUAAUCGGUCUCAACCGUGCCCCUCGGGGACAUGCCAUAGUAGUAGCGAGGGGUAAAAACCCGCGCUACUACUAAAUACUGGGUUUCAAACUCUACCCCCCCCCUGUGGAUCGCCUUUUCAGUUUAAAAAAACAAAAGAAAAUGAUGAAAAUGUCAAAAAAAUAAAAGAAAAUAAGUUUCCCAUGUGAUAUGUGGUCUAGUUGUUGGGAAAAUUUGCAAAUAUGAAUUUCGACUUUAUUUGCAAAAUCUCUCGAGAAUUUGUAAAAAUGGGCAUAACUUUUGCAUACUAACUCGGAUGAAAAAGUUUUUUAUAUGAAAAAUCAUCUACUCGAAAAGUUACAUCCAAAUUUAACGGGGGAAACCCCGUUAAACAUUUUCAAAAUCCUCAAAAACCUAACAGAAAAAAAGUUACGGGGCUUUUAAGAUCUGGAGGCAAAAAAAUUCAUCAAAUUUCAGUUUUUUUUAAUUUUUGUUAAAUCUGGUCAAACUAUGAUCAAACUAAUUAUUCAAGGAUAUUAGUGUUACUAAAUAAUUAUUUCAGUUUUUUUGAAUUUUGGUCAAAUCUGGUCAAACUAUGGUCAAACAAUGGUCAAACUAAUUAUUCAAGAAAUAUUAGUGUUACUAAACAUUAGUGUUAUUUUUUAGAACAAUAGUUUCAAAGUCAAACAGUGAAAUGUGUGACUUCAUGCUCAAGCUAAAUUCCUGAGGUUAAUAGGAUUGACAUCUUACUAUUGUCAGGAAAACAACAAGUGCAGACUUGGAAACGAGGGAGAAUAGAACCCGGAAGUUAAGCGUGCUCAGGUUGGAGUAGUGAGAGGAUGGGUGACCGUCCGGGAAGUUAGAUGAUUUGGAAUGAUGAGGGGUGAUUAGAGAUUAAAUUGAGCAGCGAUGAGGGGUGAUUAGAGAUUGGAGGUUAAAAUAAUUCAAAAAUUUGAAAAUUAGGGAAAAAAUCGAUUUUUUCGAAAAAAUUCAAAAAAAAUCAGAGAUUAGAGAUUAGUAGUAGCGCGGGUUUUUACCCACGCUGUCGUGGAAUUGUCACGUCAGAUGUCCUCGUGAAAGGACUUAGUUGUGGAGCCAUCGCAACUAGGAAGCUUGAAGGGGUUAAUCGGGACAAAGGACAUGAGAGGGUUUAUACUAGAUCGGCCCCUUACGGUGAAGGUAAGGCCUACGUCUAGUUGGGUUGGUAUUGAUGUUCCGAUGACCAGGGAGCGAGACACGCUAUGCCCGGUUCUCGAUGAGUUGUUUUUCUCCCCCAAGCCGCCAUCAGGUCGUCCCCUUAUAUACACGGGUUGACGCCCUGUGGCCUACAGAGUCCCGGCCGGCUUAUAACAGUGUCCGGCUCGGUGACUAGUUAAAACUACCUUAUGAUACAAGUCACGCCAUUACGGCGGUUUACUACAACGGGCCUUAAGUCGCCUGUGGGCCUUAAGCCCUCUAUGAACCGCCAUCUUCAUGCUUUGGGCUUGGGCCUUCUCUCUGGUAAGUCUUCUUUACGUAACCCGGCCCCUCCUGGACGGCUUACUCAAAUAGUUAUAUCCCCAACACACGCUACUACUAACGGACGUAGUAGUAGCGCGGGUGGCACCCGCGCUACUGCUAUACGUUAGCUGUAGCAUCGGCCCCCACGCUACUAAUAGGCCCAAAACCCGCGCUGCUGCUAGGCUUUUCGCUAGUAGUGGAAAGAGGGGAAGUGAGGGGGAAGUAGGGAAAGAGGGGGAUGCCGCCCCCUCCUCCUCCUCCAAUUCGGCCUCCUUCCUUGGGGGGGGGCACCACCCCUCUGUGGGCUGGUGUGCUCCCUCCUAAGGCCCAUAUGGCCCAUAUCUUCCCCCGAGGGGUUCCAGUAACCCCCUCCCCGAUACUCCGAUAUGUACCCAAUACAUUCCGGAACACUUCCGGUGUUCGAAUACUAUCAUCCAAUAUAUCAAUCAUUACCACUUGACCAUUUCGAGACUCCUCGUCAUGUCUGUGAUCUCAUCCGGGACUCCAAACAACCUUCAGUCACCAAAUCACAUAACUCAUAUAAUACAAAUCGUCAUCGAACAUUAAGGGUGCGGACCCUACGGGUUCGAGAACUAUGUAGACAUAACCGAGCAGACACCUCUUUGGUCAAUAACCAAUAGCGGAACCUGGAUGCUCAUAUUGGCUCCCACAUAUUCUACGAAGAUCUUUAUCGGUCAAACCGUUAUGACAAUGUACGUUAUUCCCAUUGUCAUUGAUAUGUUACUUGCCCGAGAUUCGAUCGUCGGUAUAUUCAUACCUAGUUCAAUCUUAUUACUGGAAAGUCUCUUUACUCGUUCUGUAAUGCAUCAUCCCGCAACUAACUCAUUAGUCACAUUGCUUGCAAGGAUUCUUAUGAUGUGCAUUACCGAGAGGGCCCAGAGAUACCUCUCCGAUACUCAGAGUGACAAAUCUUAAUCUUGAUCUAUGCCAACCCAAAAAACACCUUCGGAGAUACCUGUAGAGCAUCUUUAUAAUCACCUAGUUACGUUGUGACAUUUGAUAGCACACAAGGCAUUCCUCCGGUAUCCGGGAGUUGCAUAAUCUCAUAGUUGGAGGAAUAUGUAUUUGACAUGAAGAAAGCAGCAGCAAUAAAACUGAAUGAUCAUUAUGCUAAGCUAACGGAUGGGUCUUGUCAAUCACAUCAUUAUCCCAAUGAUGUGUUCCUGUUCAUCAAAUGACAACACAUGUCUAUGGCUAGGAAACUGAACCAUCUUUGAUCAACGAGCCAGUCAAGUAGAGGCAUACUAGGGACACAGUGUUUUGUCUAUGUAUUCACACAUGUAUCAUGUUUCCGGUUAAUACAAUUCUAGCAUGUAUAAUAAGCAUUUAUCAUGAAUAAGGAAAUAUAAAAUAACAACUUUAUUAUUGCCUCUAGGGCAUAUUUCCUUCGGUCUCCCACUUGCACUAGAGUCAAUUAUCUAGAUUACAAAGUAAUGAUUAUAACACCCAAGGAGUCUUGGUGCUGAUCAUGUUUUGCUCAUGAAAGAGGCUUAGUCAACGGGUCUGCCGCAUUCAAAUCAGUAUGUAUUUUGCAAAUCACUAUGUCUCCAUCCUUGACUAGAUCUCGGAUGGAGUUGAAGUGUCUCUUGAUGUGUUUGGUCUUUCUGUGAAAUCUGGAUUCCUUCGCUAAGGCAAUUGCUCCAGUAUUGUCACAAAAGAUUUUCAUUGGACCCGAUGCACUAGGUAUUACACCUAGAUCAGAUAUGAACUCCUUCAUCCAGACUCCUUCAUUUGCUGCUUCCAAAGCAGCUACGUACUCCGCUUCACACAUAGAUCCCGCCACGAUGCUCUGCUUGGAACUGCACCAACUGACAGCUCAACCAUUCAAUAUAAAUACGUAUCCGGUUUGUGACUUAGAGUCAUGCGGAUCAGUGUCAAAGCUAGCAUCGAUGCAAUGAUUUACGACGAGCUCUUUGUUACCUCCAUAAACGAGAAACAUAUCUCUAGUCCUCUUCAGGUACUUCAGGAUAUUCUUGACUGUUGUCCAAUGAUCCACUCCUGGAUUACUUUGGUACCUCCCUGCUAAACUUAUAGCAAGGCACACAUCAGGUCUGGUACACAACAUAGCAUACAUGAUAGAACCUAUGGUUGAGGCAUAGGGAAUGACUUUUAUUUUCUCUCUAUCUUCUGAAGUGGUUGGGCAUUGAGUCUGACUUGUAACAUAGGCAAGAACCCUUUCUUUGACUGAUCCAUUUUGAACUUCUUCAAAACGUUAUCAAGGUAUGUGCUUUGUGAAUGUCCUAUCAAGCUGAAGGAAAUAUGCCCUAGAGGCAAUAAUAAAGUUAUUAUUUAUUUCCUUAAUUCAUGAUAAAUGUUUAUUAUUCAUGCUAGAAUUGUAUUAACCAGAAACUUAGUACAUGUGUGAAUACAUAGACAAAACGUAUAGUCCCUAGUAUGCCUCUACUUGACUAGCUCGUUAAUCAAAGAUGGUUAUGUUUCCUAACCAUAGACAUGUGUUGUCAUUUGAUGAACGAGAUCACAUCACUAGGAGAAUGAUGUGAUGUACAAGACCCAUCCGUUAGCUUAGCACUAUGAUCAUUUAGUUUCCUGCUAUUGCUUUCUUCAUGACUUAUACAUGUUCCUAUGACUAUGAGAUUAUGCAACUCCCGAAUACCAAAGGAACACUUUGUGUGCUACCAAACAUCACAAUGUAAAUGGGUGAUUAUAAAGGUGCUCUACAGGUGUCUCCGAAGGUGUUUGUUGGGUUGGCAUAGAUCAAGAUUAGGAUUUGUCACUCUGUGUUUCGGAGAGGUAUCUCUGGGCCCUCUCGGUAAUACUCAUCACUAUAAGCCUUGCAAGCAUUGUGACUAAAGAGUUAGUUGCGGGAUGAAGUAUUACGGAACGAGUGAAUAGACUUGCCGGUAACGAGACUGAACUAGGUAUUGAGAUACGUACGAUCGAAUCUCAGGCAAGUAACAUACUGAUGACAAAGGGAACAACGUAUGUUGUUAUGCGGUUUGACCGAUAAAGAUCUUCGUAGAAUAUGUAGGAACCAAUAUGAGCAUCCAGGUUCCGCUAUUGGUUAUUGACCGGAGGCGUGUCUCGGUCAUGUUUACAUAGUUCUCGAACCCGUAGGGUCCGCAUGCUUAAGGUUUGAUGACGAUUUGUAUUAUGAGUUAUGUGAUUUGAUGACUGAGGGAGUUCCGGACUAGGGGGUGUCCGGAUAGCCGAACUAUCAUCAUCGGUCGGACUCCAAGACUAUGAAGAUACAAGAUUGAAGACUUCCUCCCGUGUCCGGAUGGGACUUUCCUUGGCGUGGAAGGCAAGCUUGGCGAUACGGAUAUGUAGAUCUCCCACCAUUGUAACCGGCUCUGUGUAACCCUAGCCCUCUCCGGUGUCUAUAUAAACCGGAUGGCUUUAGUCCAUAGGACGAACAACAAUCAUACCAUAGGCUAGCUUCUAGGGUUUAGCCUCCUUGAUCUCGUGGUAGAUCUACUCUUGUAACACACAUCAUCAAUAUUAAUCAAGCAGGACGUAGGGUUUUACCUCCAUCAAGAGGGCCCGAACCUGGGUAAAACAUCGUGUCCCUCGUCUCCUGUUACCAUCCGCCUAGACGCACAGUUCGGGACCCCCUACCCGAGAUCCGCUGGUUUUGACACCGACAUUGGUGCUUUCAUUGAGAGUUCCUCUGUGUCGUCGCCGAUAGGCUCGAUGGAUUCUUCGAUCGUCAUCAACGACGCAGUCCAGGGUGAGACCUUCCUCCCUGGACAGAUCUUUGUAUUCGGCGGCUUUGCACUGCGGGCCAAUUCGCUUGGCCAUCUGGAGCAGAUCGAAAGCUACACCCCUGGCCGUCAGGUCAGAUUUGGAAGUUUAGACUUCACCGCUGACAUCCGCGGGGACUUGAUCCUCGAUGGAUUCGAGCCACAGCCGAGCAUGCCGCACUGUCACAGCGAGCAUGAUUUAGCUCUGCAGCCAGACAGUACCCCGGAGGCCGCACUAGAACCCGCUCCGAUCUUCAACUCAGAGCCGGUUGCGCAGGUCGAGGACGGAUGGAUAGACACCGCCUCGGGGGCUGCAACCUCUACGGCGAUAGAGCCGAACACUGACCUUGUCCCUCAUGAAGCUCAUGACUCCAAGGUGCCAGACUCCUUGCCGGACUCCGAACCUCCCGCGCCCCCUCCGAUCGAAUCCGAUUGGGCGCCGAUCAUGGAGUUCACCGUAGCGGACAUCUUUCAACACUCACCUUUUGGCGACAUCUUGAGUUCGCUAAAGUAUCUCUCGUUAUCAGGAGAGCCCUGGCCGGACUGCGGCCAGGACGGUUAGGAUGCGGACGACGAAGAAAUUCAAAGCCCACCCACCACCCACUUGGUAGCCACUGUCAACGAUCUAACCGACAUGCUAGAUUAUGACUCCGAAGACAUCGACGGUAUGGACGACGACGCCGGAGACGACCAAGAACCAGCGCCUAAGGGGCACUGGAAAGCCACCCCAACUCACGACGUAAGCAUGGUGGAUACACCAAAAGGAAGCGACAAUGAGGAAAAACGGGACGUGGCGAAGGACAACUCCCCCAACAAACAACCAAAACGGCGACGCAAGCACCGCCCGAAGACCGGCCUCGAUAAAACGGCACCCAUACGGACCCGGCCCUAGAGCAGGGCGAAGCAGUGGACGACGCACAUGCCACCAAGCAGCCAUCCGAACAUGAUGAACUGGACAAGCAACCCAUCCCCGGCGAAGACGAUCUCACAUCACCAGAGCAUACGAACCUUCAUAAAAGGCUCGUCGCCACUGCAAGAAGUUUGAAGAAGCAAAAGCGGAAGCUCAAAACAGUGGAGGAGCACUCAGAAAGAGAGGGAGCAAAAUACUCAACACCGCAGAUAAAUACGGCGCUAGUCACCAGACAAAGAGCUACCCGAAGCGCAAGUUGUUGCCCGAAUUUGACGAGGAGGCCUUAGAGCCCCCGCAGUCAAAAAAGAAAGAAGCCACCUGGCCGGAUAGACGACCAGAUGACAGGCCAAUAACAGCAAGGGGCGCCGCACACAAGCCGGCACACGAUCAGCACAAAGAUCCUCGGAAGAAGGAUGACCCGGCCAGGUCUAUCUAUGGGCCAAAAAAGAAGACUCCAGGAAGCAACAUAACUCGUCGAUCAUUUGAAGACAACGGCACACCCAAAUACAGGAGCGCCGCACACCCACUGUGUUUCACCAAUGAGGUACUGGAUCAUGGAUUUCCAGCGGGAUUCAAACCCGUAAACAUAGAGGCAUAUGACGGAACAACAGACCCCAGAGUCUGGAUUGAGGAUUAUAUCCUACACAUACAUAUGGCCAGAGGAGACGAUCUCCAUGCCAUAAAAUACCUACCCCUCAAGCUCAAAGGGCCAGCUCGGCAUUGGCUCAAAAGCCUCCCAGAAAACACCAUUGGAAGUUGGGAAGAGCUUGAGGAUGCGUUUCGAGCAAAUUUUCAGGGGACUUAUAUCCGCCCUCCGGAUGCAGACGAUUUAAGUCACAUAACUCAACAGCCCGGAGAGUCAGCACGCAAAUUCUGGAACAGGUUCCUGACUAAAAAGAACCAAAUUGUGGACUGUUCGGACGCUGAAGCCUUAGCAGCCUUUAAACACAACUUCCGAGACGAAUGGCUCGCUAGACACCUCGGCCAAGAAAAACCAAGAACAAUGGCCGCACUAACAAGCCUCAUGACCCGCUUUUGCGCAGGGGAGGGCAGCUGGCUGGCUAGAUGUUGGAAAUAUGCCCUAGAGGCAAUAAUAAAAGUAUUAUUAUUAUAUUUCCUUGUUCAUGAUAAUUGUCUUUUAUUCAUGCUAUAACUGUAUUAUCCGGAAAUCGUAAUACACGUGUGAAUACAUAGACCACAAUAUGUCCCUAGUGAGCCUCUAGUUGACUAGCUCGUUGUGAUCAACAGAUAGUCAUGGUUUCCUGGCUAUGGACAUUGGAUGUCGUUGAUAACGCGAUCACAUCAUUAGGAGAAUGAUGUGAUGGACAAGACCCAAUCCUAAGCUUAGCACAAAGAUCGUGUAGUUCGUUUGCUAGAGCUUUGCCAAUGUCAAGUAUCUCUUCCUUUGACCAUGAGAUCGUGUAACUCCUGGAUACCGUAGGAGUGCCUUGGGUGUAUCAAACGUCACAACGUAACUGGGUGACUAUAAAGGUGCACUACAGGUAUCUCCGAAAGUAUCUAUUGUUUUAUGCGGAUCGAGACUGGGAUUUGUCACUCCGUGUAAACGGGUAUCUCUGGGCCCACUCGGUAGGACAUCAUCAUAUGCGCAAUGUGACCAAGGAGUUGAUCACGGGGUGAUGUGUUACGGAACGAGUAAAGUGACUUGCCGGUAACGAGAUUGAACAAGGUAUCGGUAUACCGACGAUCGAAUCUCGGGCAAGUAACAUACCGAUAGACAAAGGGAAUUGAAUACGGGAUCGAUUGAGUCCUUGACAUCGUGGUUCAUCCGAUGAGAUCAUCGUGGAACAUGUGGGAGCCAACAUGGGUAUCCAGAUCCCGCUGUUGGUUAUUGACUAGAGAACGUCUCGGUCAUGUCUGCAUGUCUCCCGAACCCGUAGGGUCUACACACUUAAGGUUCGAUGACGCCAGGGUUAUAAAGGAAGCUUGUAUGUGGUUACCGAAUGUUGUUCGGAGUCCCGGAUGAGAUCCCGGACGUCACGAGGAGUUCCGGAAUGGUCCGGAGGUAAAGAUUUAUAUAUAGGAAGUCCUGUUUCGGCCAUCGGGACAAGUUUCGGGGUCAUCGGUAUUGUACCGGGACCACUGGAAGGGUCCCGGGGGCCCACCGGGUGGGGCCACCUGCCCCGGGGGGCCACAUGGGCUGAAGUGGGAAGGGAUCCAGCCCAAACUGGGCUGGGGCGCCACUUCCCUCAUGGCCCAUGCGCCUAGGGUCAAAGGGGAACCCUAAGGAAGAGUCCUAGGAGGGGAAGGCACCUCCUAGGUGCCUUGGGGGGGAGGGAAUCCUCCCUUGGCCGCCGCCCCUUUCCCAUCUAGGGCUGGCCGCACCCCUUGGGGGUGGGAAACCCUAAAGGGGGCGCAGCCCUCCCCUUCCCCUAUAUAUAUUGAGGCAUGGGGCUGCCCAUAACACGCGAUUUGAUCUCUCGUUGGUGCAGCCCUGCCCCUCUCCCUCCUCCUCCUCUCCCAUGGUGCUUAGCGAAGCCCUGCUGGAUUGCCACGCUCCUCCAUCACCACCACGCCGUUGUGCUGUUGUUGGAUGGAGUCUUCCUCAACCUCUCCCUCUCUCCUUGCUGGAUCAAGGCAUGGGAGAAGUCACCGGGCUGUACGUGUGUUGAACGCGGAGGUGCCGUACGUUCGGCACUUGAUCAUCGGUGAUCUGAAUCACGACGAGUACGACUCCAUCAACCCCGUUCACUUGAACGCUUCCGCUUAGCGAUCUACAAGGGUAUGUAGAUGCACUCUCCUUUCUACUCGUUGCUGGUCUCUCCAUAGAUAGAUCUUGGUGUUACGUAGGAAAAUUUUUGAAUUUCUGCUACGUUCCCCAACAGUGGUAUCAGAGCUAGGUCUAUUGCGUAGAUUCUUUGCACGAGUAGAACACAAAGUAGUUGUGGGCGUUGAUGUUGUUCAAUAUGCUUACCGUUACUAGUCCAAUCUUGUUUCGACGGUAUUGUGGGAUGAAGCGGCCCGGACCGACCUUACACGUACUCUUACGUGAGACAGGUUCCACCGAUUGACAUGCACUUGGUGCAUAAGGUGGCUAGCGGGUGCCAGUCUCUCCCACUUUAGUCGGAACGGAUUCGAUGAAAAGGGUCCUUAUGAAGGGUAAAUAGCAAUUGGCAUAUCACGUUGUGGUCUUGCGUAGGUAAGAAACGUUCUUGCUAGAAACCCAUAGCAGCCACGUAAAACAUGCAACAACAAUUAGAGGACGUCUAACUUGUUUUUGCAGGGUAUGCUAUGUGAUGUGAUAUGGCCAAAAGGAUGUGAUGAAUGAUAUAUGUGAUGUAUGAGAUUGAUCAUGUUCUUGUAAUAGGAUUCACGACUUGCAUGUCGAUGAGUAUGACAACCGGCAGGAGCCAUAGGAGUUGUCUUUAUUUUUUGUAUGACCUGCGUGCAUUGAAGAACGCCAUGUAAACUACUUUACUUUAUUGCUAAACGCGUUAGUCAUAGAAGUAGAAGUAGUCGUUGGCGUGACAACUUCAUGAAGACACGAUGAUGGAGAUCAUGAUGAUGGAGAUCAUGGUGUCAUGCCGGUGACGAUGAUGAUCAUGGAGCCCCGAAGAUGGAGAUCAAUGGAGCUAUAUGAUAUUGGCCAUAUCAUGUCACUAACUAUAUAAUUGCAUGUGAUGUUUAUUAUGUUUAUGCAUCUUGUUUACUUAGGACGACGGUAGUAAAUAAGAUGAUCCCUUACAACAAUUUCAAGAAGUGUUCUCCCCUAACUGUGCACCGUUGCUACAGUUCGUCGCUUCUAAGCACCACGUGAUGAUCGGGUGUGAUGGAUUCUUACGUUCACAUACAACGGGUGUAAGACAGAUUUACACAGCAAUACACUUAGGGUUAACUUGACGAGCCUAGCAUGUGCAGACAUGGCCUCGGAACACGGAGACCGAAAGGUCGAGCAUGAGUCGUAUAGUAGAUACGAUCAACAUGAAGAUGUUCACCGAUGAUGACUAGUCCGUCUCACGUGAUGAUCGGACACGGCCUAGUUGACUCGGAUCAUGUGAUCACUUAGAUGACCAGAGGGAUGUCUAUCUAAGUGGGAGUUCAUAAGAUGAACUUAAUUAUCCUGAACAUAGUCAAAAGACCUUUUGCAAAUUAUGUCGUAGUUCACGCGAUAGUUCUACUGUUUUAGAUAUGUUCCUAGAGAAAAUAUAGUUGAAAGUUGAUAGUAGCGAUUAUGCGAUCAGUAGAAAGCUUAUGUCCUUAAUGCACCGCUCAGUGUGCUGAACCCCAACAUCGCUUGUGGAUGUUUCGAACAUCGAACAUACACGUUUUGAUAACUACGUGAUAGUUCAGUUAAAUGGUUUAAGUAGAGGCACCAAAGACAUUUUCGAAACGUCACGGAACAUAUGAGAUGUUUCGAGGGCUGAAAUUGGGAUUUCAGGCUCGUGCCCAUGUCAAGAGGUAUAAGACCUCCGACGAUUUUCUUAGCCUGCAAACUAAGGGAGAAAAUCCCAAUCGUUGAGCUUGUGCUCAGAUUGUCUGAGUACAACAAUCACUUGAAUCGAGUGGGAGUUGAUCUUCCAGAUGAGAUAGUGAUGUUUCCCCAAAGUCAUUGCCACCAAGCUGCUAGAGCUUCGUGAUGAACUAUAACAUAUCAAGGAUAGAGAUGAUGAUCCUUGAGGUAUUCGCGUUGUUUGACGUUGCGAAAGUAGAAAUCAAGAAGGAGCAUCAAUUGUUGAUGGUUGAUGAAACCACUAGUUUCAAGAAGGGCAAGGGAACAAAGGGAUACUUCAUGAAACGGCAAUUCAGCUGCUGCUCUAGUGAAGAAACCCAAGGUUGAACCCAAACCCGAGACUAAGUGCUUCUGUAAUAAGGGGAACAACCACUGGAGCAGCAUUACCCUAGAUACUUGGUAGAUGAGAAGGCUGGCAAGGUCGAUAGAAGUAUAUUGGAUAUACAUUAUGUUAAUGUGUACUUUACUAUUACUCCUAGUAGCACCAGGGUAUUGGAUACCGGUUCGGUUGCUAAGUGUUAGUAACUCGAAAUAAAAGCUGCGGCAUAAACGGAGACUAGCUAAAGGUGAGCUGACGAUAUGUGUUGGAAGUGUUUCCAAUGUUGAUAUGAUCAAGCAUCGCACGCUCCCUCUACCAUCGAGAUUUGGUGUUUGCGUUGAGCAUAGACAUGAAUGGAUUAUGUCUAUCGCAAUACGGUUAUUCAUUUAAAGAGAAUAAUGGUUACUCUAUUUAUUUGAAUAAUACCUUCAAUGGUCUUGCACCUAAAAUGAAUGGUUCAUUGAAAUCUCGAUCGUAGUGAUACACAUGUUCAUGCCAAAAGAUAGUAAUGAUAGUACCACUUACUUGUGGCACUGCCAUGUAAGUCAUAAUGGUAUAAAACGCAUGAAGAAGCUCCAUGUUGAUGGAUCUUUGGACUCACUCGUUUUUGAAAAGUUUGAGACAUGCGAACCAUGUCUAUUGGUGUAUACGCAUGAAGAAACUCCAUACAGAUGGAUCAUCAGGACUCACUUGAUUUUGAAUCACUUGAGAUAUGCAAAUUAUACCACAUAGGCAAGAUGACUGAAAAGCCUCGGUUUCAAUAAGAUGGAACAAGAUAGCAACUUGUUGGAAGUAACACAUUUUGAUGUGUGCAGUCCAAUAAGUGCUGAGGCAUGCAGUGAAUAUCGUUAUGUUCUUACUUCACAGAUGAUUCGAGUAGAUGUUGAGAAUAUUUACUUGAUGAAACACAAGUCUGAAUUAUUGAAUGGUUCAAGUAAUUUCAGAGUGAAGUAGAAGAUCGUUGUGACAAGAGGAUAAAAUGUCUAUGAUAUGAUCAUAGAGAUGAAUAUCUGAGUUACGAGUUUUGGCACACAAUUUAGACAUUGUGGAAAUUGUUUCGCAAUUAAUACCGCCUGGAACACCAUAAUGUGAUGGUGUGUCCGAACAUCAUAGUUGCACCCUAUUGGAUAUGGUGCGUACCAUGAUGUCUCUUAUCGAAUUACCACUAUCGUUCAUGGGUUAGGCAUUAGAGACAACCACAUUCACUUUAAAUAGGGCACCGCGUAAUUCCGUUGAGAUGACACCGUAUGAAUUAUGGUUUAGAGAAACCUAAGUUGUCGUUUCUUAAAAGUUUGGGGCUGCGACGCUUAUAUGAAAAAGUUUCAGGUUGAUAAGCUCGAACCCAAAGCGGAUAAAAUGCAUCUUCAUAGGAAACCCAAAACAGUUGGGUAUACCUCCUAAUUCAGAUCCGAAAGCAAUAUGAUUGUUUCUUGAAUCGGGUCCUUUCUCGAGGAAAGGUUUCUCUCGAAAGAGUUGAGUGGGAGGAUGGUGGAGAAUUGAUGAGGUUAUUGAACCGUCACUUCAACUAGUGUGUAGCAGGGCAUAGGAAGUUGUUCCUGUGGCACCUACACCAAUUGAAGUGGAAGCUUAUGAUAUUGAUCAUGAAACUUCGGAUCAAGUCACUACCAAACCUCGUAGGACGACAAGGACACGUACUACUUCGGAGUGGUAAGGUGAUCCUGUCUUGAAGGUCAUGUUGCUAGACAACAAUGAACCUACGAGCUAUGGAGAAGCGAUGGUGGGCCCGAAUUCCGACAUAUGGUUAGAAGCCAUGAAAUUCGAGAUAGUAUCCAUAUAUCAGAACAAAGCAUGGACUUUGAUGGACUUGCCCGAUGAUCGGCAAUCCAUUAAGAUAAAUGGAUCUUUAAGAAGAAGACGGACGUGGAUGGUAAUGUCACCAUCUAUGAAGCUCGACUUGUGGCGAAGUGUUUUCCGACAAGUUCAAGGAGUUGACUACGAUGAGAUUUUCUCACUCGUAGUGAUGCUUAAAGUCCGUCGGAAUCAUGUUAGCAUUAGCUGCAUUUAUGAAAUCUGGCAGAUGGAUGUCAAGACGAGUUUCCUUACCAGUUUUCGUGAGGAAAGGUUGUAUGUAAUACAAUCAGAAAGUUUUUGUGGAUCCUAAGGAUGCUAAAAGGUAUGCUGGCUCCAGCGAUCCUUCUAAGGACUGGAGUGAGCAUCUCGGAGUUGGAAUGUAUGCUUUGAUGAUGAUCAAAGAUUUUGGGUUUGUACAAAGUUUAUGAGAAACUUGUAUUUCCAAAGAAGUGAGUGGGAGCACUAUAGAAUUUCUGAUGAAUACAUGUUGAUCAGAAAUGAUGUAGAAUUUCUGGAAAGCAUAUAGGGUUAUUUUGAAAGUGUUUUUCAAUAGAAAGCCUGGAUUAAGCUACUUGAACAUUGAGCAUCAAGAUCUAUAAGGAUAGAUCAAAAUGCUUAAUAAUACUUUCAAAUGAGCACAUACCUUGACAUGAUCUUGAAGGUGUUCAAGAUGGACCAGUCAAAGAAGGAGUUCUUGCCUGAGUUGUAAGGUACGAAGUUAAGACUUAAAGCUCGACCACGGCAGAAUAGAAAGAAAGGACGAAGGUCGUCCCCUAUGCUUAAGACGUAGGCUCUUCAGUAUGCUAUGCUGUGUACCGCACCUGAAGUGUGCCUUGCCAUGAGUCAGUCAAGGGGUAGAAGAGUGAUCCAAGAAUUGCUCACAGGACAGCGGUCAAAGUUAUCCUUAGUAACUAGUGGACUAAGGAAUUUUCUCGAUUAUGGAGGUGGUAAAAGAGUUCGUCGUAAAGGUUACGACGAUGCAAGCUUGACACCUAUCCGGAUAGCUCUGAGUAGAGAGACCGGAUACAUAUAAUGGAGCAAUGAUUUAUGAUAGCUCCAAGUAGAACAGUUGUUUGGAAUAGCUCCAAAUAGAGCGUGGUAGCUGCAUCUAGGAGAUGACAUAGAGAUUUGUAAAGCACACACGGAUCUGAAAGGUUCAGACCCGUUGACUAAAACCUCUCUCACAAGCAACAUGAUCAAACAUAAAACUCAUUGAGUGUUAAUCACAUAGUGAUGUGAACUAGACUACUGACUCUAGUAAACUCUUGGGUAUUAGUCACAUGGCGAUGUGACCUGUGAGUGUUAAUCACAUGGCGAUGUGAACUAGAUUAUUGACUCUAGUGCAAGUGGGAGACUGUUGGAAAUAUGCCCUAGAGGCAAUAAUAAAAGUAUUAUUAUUAUAUUUCCUUGUUCAUGAUAAUUGUCUUUUAUUCAUGCUAUAACUGUAUUAUCCGGAAAUCGUAAUACACGUGUGAAUACAUAGACCACAAUAUGUCCCUAGUGAGCCUCUAGUUGACUAGCUCGUUGUGAUCAACAGAUAGUCAUGGUUUCCUGGCUAUGGACAUUGGAUGUCGUUGAUAACGCGAUCACAUCAUUAGGAGAAUGAUGUGAUGGACAAGACCCAAUCCUAAGCUUAGCACAAAGAUCGUGUAGUUCGUUUGCUAGAGCUUUGCCAAUGUCAAGUAUCUCUUCCUUUGACCAUGAGAUCGUGUAACUCCUGGAUACCGUAGGAGUGCCUUGGGUGUAUCAAACGUCACCACGUAACUGGGUGACUCUAAAGGUGCACUACAGGUAUCUCCGAAAGUAUCUAUUGUUUUAUGCGGAUCGAGACUGGGAUUUGUCACUCCGUGUAAACGGAGAGGUAUCUCUGGGCCCACUCGGUAGGACAUCAUCAUAUGCGCAAUGUGACCAAGGAGUUGAUCACGGGGUGAUGUGUUACGGAACGAGUAAAGUGACUUGCCGAUAACGAGAUUGAACAAGGUAUCGGUAUACCGACGAUCGAAUCUCGGGCAAGUAACAUACCGAUAGACAAAGGGAAUUGAAUACGGGAUCGAUUGAGUCCUUGACAUCGUGGUUCAUCCGAUGAGAUCAUCGUGGAACAUGUGGGAGCCAACAUGGGUAUCCAGAUCCCGCUGUUGGUUAUUGACUGGAGAACGUCUCGGUCAUGUCUGCAUGUCUCCCGAACCCGUAGGGUCUACACACUUAAGGUUCGAUGACGGUAGGGUUAUAAAGGAAGCUUGUAUGUGGUUAUCGAAUGUUGUUCGGAGUCCCGGAUGAGAUCCCGGACGUCACGAGGAGUUCCGGAAUGGUCCGGAGGUAAAGAUUUAUAUAUAGGAAGUCCUGUUUCGGCCAUCGGGACAAGUUUCGGGGUCAUCGGUAUUGUACCGGGACCACCGGAAGGGUCCUGGGGGCCCACCGGGUGGGGCCACCUGCCCCGGGGGGCCACAUGGGCUGAAGUGGGAAGGGAUCCAGCCCCAAGUGGGCUGGGGCGCCACUUCCCUCAUGGCCCAUGCGCCUAGGGUCAAAGGGGAACCCUAAGGAAGAGUCCUAGGAGGGGAAGGCACCUCCUAGGUGCCUUGGGGGGGAGGGAAUCCUCCCUUGGCCGCCGCCCCUUUCCCAUCUAGGGCUGGCCGCACCCCUUGGGGGUGGGAAACCCUAAAGGGGGCGCAGCCCUCCCCUUCCCCUAUAUAUAUUGAGGCAUGGGGCUGCCCAUAACACGCGAUUUGAUCUCUCGUUGGUGCAGCCCUGCCCCUCUCCCUCCUCCUCCUCUCCCAUGGUGCUUAGCGAAGCCCUGCUGGAUUGCCACGCUCCUCCAUCACCACCACGCCAUUGUGCUGCUGUUGGAUGGAGUCUUCCUCAACCUCUCCCUCUCUCCUUGCUGGAUCAAGGCGUGGGAGACGUCACCGGGCUGUACGUGUGUUGAACGCGGAGGUGCCGUACGUUCGGCACUUGAUCAUCGGUGAUCUGAAUCACGACGAGUACGACUCCAUCAACCCCGUUCACUUGAACGCUUCCGCUUAGCGAUCUACAAGGGUAUGUAGAUGCACUCUCCUUUCUACUCGUUGCUGGUCUCUCCAUAGAUAGAUCUUGGUGUUACGUAGGAAAAUUUUUGAAUUUCUGCUACGUUCCCCAACACUAGAUGCAGCACCAGCGACCCGAGUACAUCCGAAGUCAGGGAUGGAAAUGGGAAAUCAUGACGCAGAAAAGAUCAGCGCCGGAACAAGGAAAAUGACCCAAAUAGUACAGCGGUCAACACCAGAUUCAAAAGCUCUCGGCCGAAUAACAAAACACUGCCCCUCAAGGACAACAGUGACGAGCUAUCCAACCUAAACAAGAUUCUGGACAGGCUAUGUCAAAUACACGGUACCCCCGGAAAGCCUGCAAACCAUACCCACAGAGAUUGUUGGGUCUUCAAGCAGUCCGGCCGACUUAAUGCCGAACACAAGGGGCUCGACACACCAAGCAAAAGUGACGAACCCCAAAAGCAGCACUCCAGAAAACAGAAGACUUUCCCACUAGAAGUCAAAACAGUGAACUCACUUCAUGUGAUAACACGAAAACACAGCGCGGCACCUGCCAUACCAGGACACCGUCCGCAGAAUGGGGAUAGACCCUACCAACAUUCGCCAUAACAGCAUUUCCUUCAAAGGAGUGAUGCCAUGCCUUUAAGCCAAUUAUACGGGCUCUGUACCACUAGAGGUUGUGUUCGGUUCAUCCGACAACCUCCGUCGCGAAAGGCUCACUCUUCGUCGCGCCCCAUUAAACAGUGGCCAUCAAGCACUACUGGGACGCAAAGCUUUCGCCCGCUUUAACGCCAUACCACACUACACGUCUCCUAUACUUACAAUGCCCGGUCCACGCGGCAUAAUCUCAUUAAAUAGUAACUAGGAGUGUUCCUCGACCACGGAGUGCGUGGGGCUGCCUUGACAGCCACUCCGACCUUGCUUGUCAAGGCCCCUAAACACAGGUCAUUCAGACCCCGGACACGGUUAGGCGAGUCCGGCGUAAAUAAACAAGGGGCUUCCCAUCCGCAUACCCCCUUUAUAAGGGGUCGCGCGUUUAAACGAUGAGAGCCAAUAAAGCUCAACUUUCUUUAUCUACCAAAUUAUACUUUAUUUUAACACAACUUUUGCACGAUAUUUCUUAGAAACUAAGUCCUUCUCUUUUACAGAUGAAGCACGUGCUACACCCGUCUAGGAUACAGCACAACGGAGACACAGGCGCAGACGUGCAGCAGGGACCCAUUGCAAGGAUUCUUUUCAGAUUAAGACCCUGCGUAAACCUUUCUUACUGUCUCCUAUUGAUACACAUCCCCUGGUUUUCUACCAUAGCCGAGGAGGAGGCUGGCGUUUUGGCAUCGGCCGCGUCAGAAGUUCCCGUCUGUACCUGGACACUAGGGGCUUAGGGCAUUGUUCUGCCCGGUAUCAUAAAGACCGAACACCUUAGGGAGUGUUCGGCGUCUCGAGUUAGGCCUUAUAUGCAUCAGCUCCGAAUCAUGUCUUUGGUAAAAUGUUGGGUUUGCCCGGCUCCUGUGUUUUGCUGCCUUACGUUCCGUAUCAUCGGCUAACGCGGCACCAGGAGAACUACUGCGAUUGUGCCCCGGUUCGGCCGGGCGAGCACCUCAGUAGAGAAAGCCGAAAACUGACUGUCAUGAUAUAGCGAGAGACUGGUCAACCAUUCGAUCGACCAUUGGAAUGUUUAGAAUUCCUCCGCUUUGACGAAGGACCGCUUCCCGGUCAGGCACAUACGCACCCCGAGUUCGGAGAAGAGCGGUGCCGCCAGGGGCUAUAUAGUAGCCCCACAUUCGAGCUCCUAUGGCUAAGUGAAAGUGAUAAAGCAUUAUAGUCCGGUUGCCUAGUUUGCUACGCUAUCACCUCCUUAAAAGGACCAAGACGUUGGAUCAAGUGUGAAAAAGCUUUUCUUUUUGCAAACACCCCCGCACCAUGUGCGUGGGGGCUGAAGCCAAAGACUGCCAUCUUUCAGAUUAUACAUACAUAUACGGCCGCACAGGAGAUAGUUCAAUACUUGAACACACAAGUAUAAAAAGCUAUUGUAUUAUAAACAUGAUCUCAGAAAUCAUACAUGUCAUUCAAACAUAACAUUUUUCGAGCACUGCGACUCUAUUAAACGAGCGCCCUGCAGGACUUCCUCAAAAUAGUGCUCGGUGGGGAUCCGGCUUUUAUCCGAACCCCGGGAUGCAACAGCGGUGGCAUCCAUCUCCGCCCAGUAUGUCUUACCACGGGCGAGAGCCAUCCGUGCACCUUCUAUACACGCCGACCGCUUCAUCGCCCCAAUACGCGGCACCGCCCCAAGAAAUUGCUGCAACAAGCCAAAAUAACUCUUCGGCUUGGGCCUUCCCGGCCACAGAUGAGCGACCACAUCCGUCAUGGCAAGUCCGGACAAUCUAUUUAGCUCAGCCCACUCAACCAGCCGAUCACUCAACGGAAGUGGACGCUCCGAACUAUGGAAUUGAGACCAGAAAAGCUCUUCCAUUUCGUGAUCCUUCUGGCUUCGGAAGUGCACAACUGCGUCCGCCGCACUCGCUGCCAAGUCCAGAUAAGGAUCCUCCGCACCAUAUAAUCGGCCCAGCUGAGCAUACUUCGGAUCCGUGAACUUCCUACGCAGCAUAAAGGGCUUUCCAGCCACAAUGUCUCCGACCUGACACAGUUCCUCCUUCAUAGCCCGCAUCGCACUACGGGCAUCCUUGGCUUCGGCGUCGGCCUUCUUCAGGUCCUCUUGCUCCGCUCGGCGUUCUCUUUCAAGAACCUCCUGGCGGUCGGUAGCAACUUUUAAAUUCGCGGCCAUUCCGGCCAUCUCCUCCCUGCUUCGGCAGUGAGCAGCCUUCUCGGCUUCUAGCUCUUCCGCUGCCUUCGAGGCAGCCGCCUCGCUUUUUCUGGCUUGCUCCUUGGCCCGAGCAAGUUCUGCUCGAAGGUCUUCCACAGCAACAGCACCAUCUGCAUCAAGCAUACAAAUUGUAAGGAAUGGGCGUCAUCUCCCUUACUAGGAGACCGCGGAGCAACCACAUACCUUGUGACUCAUCAAGUCGUUUAUUGACCAGCGAGAUGUCCGCAUCCGCAACGUCGAGUUGCCUCCUCAGCUCGGCAAAUCCAUCAGUCCGGCUGGCUACCGAACGUUCCGCCACCUGCAAACGAAAGGCGACAUUCUACAACUGAGAUUAUGAUCCUUGGCAUGCUAUCGUUUUCGACAACAUACCAAGCCUCAGGGGCUACUAUCUAUACAGGGCGCACUUCAUGUGCAAAACUGUCAAAAGGUAUGUCAUUUUUUGCAUACCUCAAAGCCCGUCAGCAAGCUUCUGACGGCCUCAUACAACCCGCUCUCGGCGGACGAGAUCCUUUCAAUCACCGUACUCAUUAAUGUGCGGUGAUCUUCCGAGAUGAACGCCCUCUUAAGCGAAUCCUGUAGCUCCACCGGCCGUACUCCAAUGGGUGCCGAACUCUCUGGCCCCGCCGGACUCGGGGAGACCCUCCGCGACGACACCUCAGGGUCGUCCGCCCCGCAUGAUGGGGCGGCAGAUGGAGGCGUUUCACUCUCCAUCAUCUCCGGACGAAGGUCUCCCGAAGAUGAGCUGUGCUGAGACGGGCUGAGAUCCGAACUACAAGAUGAAAACUUCGGUUACCCUUAAAAAUUAAGCAGGGGUGUCCACUAUUACAAAAUUCCUCCUUUUUUACUUACGGCUCGCUAGAGGGCUGAUUCCUCCGAGGAGACAGUACGGCCGGGACUCUUCCCGGCACAGGACCUUCCGGUACAGAUUUCUUUCCCCGCUUCGAGGCCUUGGCCUCCGGGUCUUCGGAAGCUGUCCUCUUCUCCCCCUAGAAGGGGGUACUCUUGAUUCCUCCCUUAUUGAAAACCUCCUUGGCAGAGGUGGUAGUUCCCCUGUGCCCCCCUUCGCCCUCCUCCGAGGGUGCAACCUCCAACAUUUUGAUUAACACGGGAUCCUGCGUGGUCUCAAGGAGGGGGGCCGGACACCGUAUCAUUUUUGCUUGCGCUAUCCACUCCUGUCCAAGGGAUAGCUGGUCAAAAGGCAAAACCACGAUAAAUAGAUAAACAAUGUGUCCGGGCACAGGGCUACUUACUUGAGUAUCCGGGCGAUUGCAGCUUAGGCCAGCAUCCUCGGUCAAGUCCGGACGCAUCUCUUGCGAUCCGAAGAACAGUUUGUACAUCUUCGCAGGUGUCAAACCCAUGAAGUGUUGAAGAGCUCGUGGCCCCUCCGGAUUAAAUUCCCACAGGCGGAGGGGGCGACGUUUGCAGGGCAGUAGGCGCCGGAUCAGCAUAACCUGUACCACUGCGACUAGAUUGAUCUCCCUUUCUUGGAGGCCUCAAAUCCGGUCCUACAACAGGGGUACGUCUUUGGACGGCCCCCAGUCACACCCCUUGUUGACCCAUGAUGUCAACUAUUGUGGAGGGCCCGAGCGGAAGACGGGCGGCGGCCUCUGCCUGCUGCCCCUGGGAGCGGUGAUAUAAAACCACUCCUGUUGCCACACGCCGAGCUCCUCCUGAAAAGAGCCCUCGGGCCAUGGAGCAUCGGCCCUCUUGCUUAUGACCGCCCCUCCGCACUCUGCCUGAUGCCCCUCAAUCAUCUUCGGCUCCACAUUGAAGGUUUUGAGCCAUAAGCCGAAGUGAGGGGUAGUGCGGAGGAAGGCUUCGCAAACGACAAUAAACGAUGAGAUGUGGAGGAUGGACUCCGGAGCCAAGUCAUGGAAUUCUAGCCCAUAGUAAAACAUGAGCCCCCUCACGAAGGGGUCCAUCGGGAAGCCUAAGCCCCGACAGAGGUGAGACACGAACACAACGCUCUCGCCGGGCUCGGGAGUAGGAAUAACUUGCCCUCGGGCAGGCAACCUAUGCGAAAUCUCAUAGGUCAAGUACCUGGUGUCUCUCAGCUUUAACACGUCUUCUUCCGUCACGGAAGAGGGCAUCCACCGGCCCCAUAGGUCGGAGCCGGACAUUUUCGAAGGUCGAAGGUACCCAAAUCUGGAGCCCUGGGUGUUGGAACUCGGGGGCGAGGAGCGGAUUCGAUUGAGGAUUGAAGAAAAAGAACUGGCCUUGGUCUCAUUAUAAAGAGGAAGAAUACCAAGAGCCGUCGCCGUGACCGUUUGAAACCCGCCUUCGAUGGAGGGGGCUUGGCAACGGGCGCGGUUGGGUUACCCACGUCCGUAUUUAUGGGAAUCCCGGAAUAAGGGGAACACGAUCUCUGCUUCGACAAGACGUGCCAAGGAAAGCGCUUCGCUAAACGCGCUGAGGUGGUACAAUAAAAAUGAUUCGAGUAAAGGCUUGGUAGUGUUGUGACGUCAUGUCACGAAAUACGCCAGCAGAUUGAACUUGUGUAAAUAUUAUUCUCUCUACGGUGGUAUGUGGAAAUUAUUUUGCAGAGCCAGACACUAUCCUGGUGUUCACAAUCUUCUAUGAAUUAUUUGGAGGGAGAACCCGCCUUGCAAUGCCGAAGACAACAUGCGCGCCGGACUCGUCGUCAUUGAAGCCUGGUUCAGGGGUUACUGAGGGAGUUCCGGACUAGGGGGUGUCCGGAUAGCCGAACUAUCAUCAUCGGCCGGACUCCAAGACUAUGAAGAUACAAGAUUGAAGACUUCGUCCCGUGUCCGGAUGGGACUUUCCUUGGCGUGGAAGGCAAGCUUGGUGAUACGGAUAUGUAGAUCUCCCACCAUUGUAACCGACUCUGUGUAACCCUAGCCCUCUUCGGUGUCUAUAUAAACCGAAUGACUUUAGUCCAUAGGACGAACAACAAUCAUACCAUAGGCUAGCUUCUAGGGUUUAGCCUCCUUGAUCUCGUGGUAGAUCUACUCUUGUAACACACAUCAUCAAUAUUAAUCAAGCAGGACAUAGGGUUUUACCUCCAUCAAGAGGGCCCGAACCUGGGUAAAACAUCGUGUCCCUCGUCUCCUGUUACCAUCCGCCUAGAUGCACAGUUCGGGACCCCCUACCCGAGAUCCGCCGGUUUUGACACCGACAAUGACCGAAGUUUGUUCGAAGUCCCUGAUGAGAUCACAGACAUGACGAGGAGUCUCGAAAUGGCCGAGACAUAAGUAUCGAUAUAUUGGAAGGAUAUAUUCGGACAUCGGAAAGGUUCCGAGUGAUUCGGGUAUUUUUAAGAGUACCGGAGAGUUACGAGAAUUCACCGGGGGAAGUACUGGGCCUUAAUGGGCCAUAUGAGAAAGGAGAGAAGGGCCUCAAGGGGUGGCCGCGCGCCUCCGCUAUGGCAAGUCCGAAUUGGACUAGGGAGGGGACGGCGCCCCCCUCUCUUUCCUUCUCCCUCUCCUACUCCUUCCCUCUCUGUCCUCUUGGAAAAGGAAGGGAACUCCAACUAGGAUUGGGAAUCCUAGUUGGACUCCCCCUAUAGGCGCGCCCCUCCUAGGCUGGCCUCCUCCUCCUCCGUCCUUUAUAUACGUGGCCCGGGGCACCCCAUAGACACACAAGUUGAUCUUUUAGCCGUGUGCGGUGCCCCCCUCCACAGUUACACACCUCGAUCAUAUGUUGCGGAGCUUAGGAGAAGCCCUGCGCCAGUAGCAUCAUCAUCACCGUCACCAUGUCAUCGUGCUGAAGGAACUCACCCUCGGCUUCAACUGGAUCAAGAGUAUGAGAGACUUCAUCAAGCUGAACGUGUACUAAACACAAAGGUGUCGUACAUUCAGUACUUGGAUCGGUCGGAUCGUGAAGACGUACGAGUACAUCAACCGCGUUGUCAUAACGCUUCCGCUUUCGGUCUAUGAGGGUACGUAGACAACACUCUCCUCUCUCUUUGCUUUGCAUCACCUAGAUAGAUCUUGCAUGAUCAUAGAAUUUUUUUUGAAAUUACUGCGUUCCCCAACAGUGGCAUCCGAGCCAGGUCUAUGCGUAGAUGUUAUAUGCACGAGUAGAACACAAAGAGUUGUGGGCGAUAAUAGUCAUAUUGCUUACCAGCAUGUCAUACUUUGAUUCGGCGGUAUUGUUGGAUGAAGCGGCUCAGACCGACAUUAUGCGUAUGCUUACGCGAGACUGGUUCUACCGACAUGCCUCGCACACAGGUGGCUAGUGGGUGUCUGUUUCUCCAGCUUUAGUUGAAUCGAGUGUGGCUACGCCCGGUCCUUGUUGAAGGUUAAAACAACACACUUGACGAAAAAUCGUUGUUGUUUUUGAUGCGUAGGGAAGAACGGUUCUUGCUAAGCCCGUAGCAGCCACGUAAAACUUGCAACAACAAAGUAGAGGACAUCUAACUUGUCCUCCUAACUGUCACCUCCAGCUAGGAGAUCAGGAAACCACGCGCAAACAUAAAUUAGGUAACCCACCAGUUCACUCGGUUCGUCUAGUCCGAUGGCUGACCGGUCUACGAAUGACCAAUUAACCACUCAACCAUUGACUUUUGUGGAAAAACUUAAAUUGAAAUAAACCACAAAAAUUGAAGGAAGUUCACAAUUUUAAAAAAUACAAUAAACCUAAAAUUUGAAAAUUUUGAGAAAAAACCUCAUGGAUUUUAGAAAAUAAAUCAAGGAUUUGGAAAAUGUUCAUCAAUUUUGGAAAAAAGUUCAUCAAAUUAUGACAAAAGUUAAAAAUCAUUAAUUUUCCAAAUAAAACCACAAACCUGAAAAAGGUUCCCAUAUUUGGAAAAAAAAAAUUCAUAUGAAAAUGUUCAUCAAUUUCGAAAAAAACAUCGACAAUUUUUUAAAAAAUACUACAUUUUUUAAAAAUAAUAAUAAACAGGAAAAAAGUUCAUGGAAUUUGUCAAAAAGUUCAUCGAAUCUGAGAAAAAAGUUCAUCGAUUUUGCAGAAAAAAUUCAUCAUGAAGAAAAUAAGCUUCACGAAUUUGGAAAAGAAAGAAACAAAAGGAAAGAAAAAAGGAAAAGAAGAAUAUCAAGAAGAUAAGACGAAAAAACAUGUAUGUAAUCAAACGUGGCUAUGUGGUCCAGUGGUUGUCUUGCUAUACUAUGAACUGCGUGGUCGUCGGUUCGAUACCCAGCUCUUGCACACUAUUUUGGAGUUUAGAAAAGAGAGAGAAAACUAAAACUGGGCCGGCCCAACGUGGCAAGGGGGGUAUGCGCCCGUUAGCAGGAAUACCUGUAACGGGCGCUUAAGGCGCUGAAUAGGAACCAGCGUUGAAUAGGACCACCACUAGAGCAGUUUAGGCUUCGGACACUCACACAGGCCGUAUGGCGUCAUGGCCCAGCGCACUGGUCCAUGUAUCCUCGAAGUUGCAAUUUCUUUUUAGCCUUUCUUCUGUGGACCUUCUAUACUGUUCGGAGCCUUUUCACCUUUUUGUCGAGCCCACUGCAUCUCAUGUAUACAUUACAGACUUGUUGUUGCAGUUGCAGUUGCAGUAUCGCUCUUCAUAUGCUACAGUUUUACUCUCCUGCAGUUGCACCUUUCCUUGCUACCUUUCCACUAUAGUCCAUACUGAAACUUGCCAUCGACGCAGGGCAGCACUUCCAGUUCACUGUAUCAUGUCUCUCGAUACAGAAGUACUCCCUCCGUAAACAAAUAUAAGAGCGUUUAGAUAACUAAAGUAGUGAUCUAAACACUCUUAUAUUUUUUUACAGAGGGAGUACUAUUUCUACCAACAAAGAAAGGUUCUUCACCGAUGGACUCACUUGCCUCAAAGGAUGUACCACUGCAGCACUACAUGCCUACCUUGGGCCAUGCACCUUUAAUCAGUACUCAAACAAGCAUUUCUUGUGUGCUAAGGCUGCCCGUAAUGGGAGUAGUCAAACAAGCAAUUUUGAUGAGUUAACAUAGAAUUAAAUGAAAAAAGAGAAAGUUGAGUAUCAUAUCAUGAUAAAUGAUAUGCUACUAUGUGUCAUGCGUGGCAAUAAAUUAACUAUCCUAUGAUACUAACAUAUGAUACUAUGCACGGAUGUAGUAUCAUACACUAGUAUUACUCCCCAUUACAACCAGCCUAAUCCGUAAUCAAUGAGAUAGGGUCUGACCUGCUAGGUUGGACCUCUGAAGGCACAAUGCUUCAUGCAUGGAAUAUUAGGUUUGUGUGACAGUCGUUAACCAUAUAAUUAAUCAGAUGGCAUGUGAUAAACAAAUGGUCUCUCACGCGCCUUCCCAACCUAACACCACAGACAACCAGGCAAGCUGCAUAGGGUGCUCUAUCUCCUUCCGUGCACUGAUAUGAAUCCAAGCAGAUAAAUUAACUACGUAUGCACCAUGGUAGGGGAGGAGUACGUAUGCACCAUGGUAGGGUAGAUUAACCCAUACUUAGAUAGUAGAUUAACCCAUGCACCAUGGUAGGGUAGGAGUACGUAUAGUCAAAAAUCUUGACCGUUCUUCAGUUUCAGUUACACACUGGAAAUUAAACCACUCUAGCUAGAACAUUGGUCGCCUCCCAAAUACAUAGGCCGGGUUCUGAACGGGCGUUUUUAUGGUAAAGCGACACGCGAAUCUUGCUGCAUAAUUUCGUCUUACAUGGCCAAAUGAUAGCCGUCCGAGAAUCAUUAGUAAACCACUACUUCCUGACUGAACAUAUUUUAUACUCAAAAUGUACCAAUUAUAACAGAACCCUGGAAAAAAAACACCUCGCCAUUUUGCCGAGUGUGAUUUCGGAUUCAUACUUGUUAGCACACGCAUAAAUAGUGUUUGCUUUCUGGCAUCUCACAAGGCAUAAGGCGACGCCAAACUGAUCAGAUCAUAAUCAGGACAGGCGCACGAGAGAGGGAGAGAGACGACGAUUCCAACUGGCAGCAGCAAUAUUUUUUAGGUUAGAUACAUCAGGCCACUAAUUAAGCAAUCAGUGAUCAGUCAAUAGCAGAGAUAAACAAAUAGUCAGGCCACAUGGCGGUUGCCGGCUUGCAAGAGCAUGAUAUGGGUUUGGUGAUGAAUAUGUAGUUGAAUAUAUGCAGCAUUAGUAGUACUAUAUACUAAGCCGAUAAUCCAAACUGAUAGAGACAAGAACUAUAUCUUGUGAUCAUAAGCUUGACACUUCCCAAGUGGUAGCGUGAGACAACUGGUUAGCAUGUGUGAUUGGUUUGGCACAGCAAGAACUCGUAGGUUAGCUAGGAUUUGCCAUGUCCGACUUAUUGAUACAGGCCAGGCCCAACCAACAUGUGCUACUUGACAACUUGUAACACAGGUAUACAAUCAAGAUUUCCUAGAUUCAGUGACUACCAAAUGAAUCCUUGAUGUGAACAAUGAUCGAUGUCAGCUAACAAGUGAUCAAGUUUCCGUUGAAUAAAUUCCAGAAAAUGAUCAAUGGUCAAAAUAGUUGGUGGUGAGAAACAAGGUUGGUUUCUUUUUGUAAGGUUGAGUGUGGCCGAAAUUUGGAGUUGGUGCACGGAAUCAACCUGAUGAGGCAGCUAGAUGAGUUUCUUGUCAGCUGUUGGAAUAAAGAAUGCGCCGGAUACAUGCAACAGAUGAGGUAUCAGAUUAAGCAAAUGAAUACUACUAGUACUGUAGUACAUGGUUGGGCAUCUAAGUUUGACAUAUUGACAUGUAGACAUGGGCUAUGGAACCAAAGUAAAAGUUAGAAAACUGAGCAUUCUGCAGACACUUCCCUGGAUUCUCUAACUCUGUCUUUAUAUAUCUUCGUACACGCAGUACGCCAGUGCCUUUCCAGGAUAUAUGGGCCGAUGUAGCUGCAGAUAAUGAUAUAUUCAUUUUGUUUUUGGGGUCAGCUCGAAUCGUAAAAAAUCACAGCAUGUCACUAGAGUAUUACCAAAUUUAAUGUGAAUCUUCAGUUAUAACAGAUGACUGGUACGGUCGCACUCUACUAACAAGGCCCCCCUUGGUUCAUACGAUAAGAAAAUCAUAGGAAUAGAAAAGACAUAGAAAAUAAAAUGACAUGUAUCUCAGUUUCUAUAAAAAAAAUAGACGUCAUUUGGUUCAUUGGAUAGAAACUUUUCCAUUAGGUCCGAGCAAAUAUAUUUUUUCUUUGAAAUGUCAAGGAUGGGAACCAAUUCUACAUACGAAUAGGAGCCUAUUCCUACAAUCCAAAGGGCUCUAUACUCUAUAGGGAUUUUUCCUUUAGAAAUCCCAUUCUAUAGAAUUCUUACUAAAAUCCUACAAACCACAGAAGGCCCAAUAUAAUUAAAUUUCAUUAGGAUAUAUAUCCUGUGUUCAUGUGGCCAUUGGAAGAAUUCAGGCAACGAUAAUUGUCAUGGCAAUUUACCAGGGAACAGAUGCAAAACAGCAGAACAUCAUUUUGAACAAUGAUUAGCUAGCUAGAGAAGUUUGUGGCUUCUGAUGCGCCAAGCAUGCCGGCCUGGCUAGAAGAUAGCAUUGCAUGUAACGCUGCGUCCUGCAGCCAUGCACUUUGCUUGUUCAUUAAUUACUAAUCUGAGUAUUGAUGGGUGUCACUUGACAUACGCAUGUGGUCGGUUGAAUUAUUUGAAAAUAUAAUUUACGAGCUUGUAGAGUAAAUUACAAAUCCAAAAGUAAAAGUUCAACAAAACAUGUUUUUUUUAAUGCUUUUCUGUGUUCAAACCUCCAGUAAAAUCUUCGGAGUACUUCAGCUUCUUGCCUUCUUCCACACGUACGAUUUUUCCAAUUUCAAGUGUCCUGGUCUACUAGGUAUACUGAACAAGUCUAGGGCUCUAGAUACCUUGUGAAACCCUAUCGAGUUAAAUACGCUAGGGGUGCCUCAACUUGUUGUGCCCGGAGAGUUUGGUGCCUAAAGUUGCAAAAUAUAUGAAAUUGGUGCUUGAACUUGUCCGGCUGUGCAACUACGAUGCCUCCUUCCGUAUCUGGGCGUAUGCUCUACCCACGUGGCGUGACAACCCCACAUGUCAGUGGCAGAGAGCAUGGAAGGUGCUGGGUGGCCUGCGCUUGAGAUUGUUUUUGCAGGAAGCCCCUCAUAUUUAAUUUAAUCACGUAGGAAAAACCUAUGUCAGUAUAAGCGUGUGACAGACAAAAACUAAAGAAAAUGUGUGAGUCCACCGCGCCAAACUCUGCUGAAUAGACAAUCAUGAAGUCGAACUGUACAUAUUGUGUUGUUAUUCAAAAGGUAAUUCUUCUAUAAAAAUAUACCAGGGGCGCUAGCCUCUCUGGUCUCGCCUUUUUUGUAACUUUGCAGCACGGGCAUAUUGUGCCCGUUUUUUGAACAUCAAAGAAAAGGAUUUUUACAGCGCAAAAAAAUCCGAAUUUUUUAUAUGUGCACAAAUAGAAGUGUAAUAUAUCGUGUGAAUUUUUAUCAAAAUCUGUGCUUAUAUGUGAGAGAUACGAAAAAGAUAAAUACAUGCAAAAAUCAGCUCUUUUUUGCCGGAUUUUUUUUUGAAUAUCCUUAUAUUUCUACAAACAUGGUUGACAUGUUUGGAUACAUUUGUAGAAUUUAAUAUUAUUAAAAAAUAAUUUUUAAUACAUGUUGAGUAGUUUACAAAAUACAAAGUUGUCAAAUUUUUAAUAAUUGGAUAUUCUAGAAAUAGAGUGAAGAUACACAAUAAUUGUGUGUGCUUCUGGUGCAGAAUGAAGAUAUACGAAUUUACACAAUAGUAUUUAAUAUGGGUUGAACUAUUUAAAUUAACAUAAAAUUUUGAAAAAGUUCAUUUUUACCUCUUCAAAGUACACGAUAACAAAAGAAGAAAAAAGAUUUGAAAAUACAAAGAAAUUUAAUAUUGGUAAUUAUUGUAUUUUUAUAUGGGAAAACUUGUGUGUCAUAAAACUAACCAUGAACUAGGAAAAAUAAAAAAUAAACAGUGGUAAUAAAUAAAAAAUAAAUGAUGGAUAAACGCAUCAAUUAGUCUACAAUAGCUUUCUUGCUAACAUUCUUAUGGAAAGCAAAGUUCAGCUGCAUGGCUGGAUCGUGCCGGUAGUUGACCCGGAGGUGCCUUUUCGAAACUCAUAUGUGUUUUUUUUUCCAUUUUAUUUCUAUCUAGCAUACCCUAUACUUCAGGACUUCCCUACAUGAUUAAAUAAAGCUCGAGGUUGGUUUCUGUAAAAUAAUUCCUCACGAGCGGGCACAUGGGCCACUGCCGCGCUAGCACGCCACGCGGACAACGUGUUGGAGUACGGACGAAGGCAUCGUGUUUGCACGAUCGGACAAGUUUGAGCCCCAGUUUUGUGUAUUUUGCAACUUUAGGCACCAAACUGACCGUAUAGGACAAGUUUAGGCACCUCCGAUGUAUUUAACUCAACCCUAUCAGUUUUGUCAAGGCAUGGGUAUAGAUCAAUAAUUUACUUGAGCUAGAAAGCUAGGCACUAUAUAGGUGUCAAGUGCAUGGGGAUCUCUUGAUUGAAAGAAUCCCAAGAUCUUUGCUCCUUUGACCAGAGUACACACAACUUUAAUUGUUCAUUCUCGAAUGACGAAUGUGACAAGAUACUCUAGCUUGGACUGUCCAGUAAUCCCAAACACGGGCGAAGAAGACAAACGCGAGCAUGGAGACCACCGCUUUGGAUUUGACUAGCGCGCGUCCGAGCUAAUGGCAUGCACCAAUGCAUGUGCUACCCUAGUUCCAUGCACGCACGCACCGUGUUCUUCCUUCGUCGUGAGCAAGGAUCGAUCAACACUCGGUCAUGCAUAUGUAAUCACCACGGAUGAUGCUAGUUAAUCAUGAAUUAGUCCAGGACUCAAAAGCUAGCUCCAUCGGCCAGUUGUUUAAUCUCUCAUCUUUGACAAACGGAUUAGCUACUGAGUGUAGUAAUAGAUAUGAUUAGCUGCUAGUGAUCGAUUAGCACGCACCUGGUUCCACAUUGACCACCUUUAUUUUGUAGCAGAGUAUAGGUAUGCACGCGUACAUCUUGUACGUACUACUUAAGUCCAAAAGUUUUCCCCUAAAAAGUGCACAGGUUAAUUCGUCUCCAAGAAAAGCAUAUGGUCAAGGUCAAAACUCAAAAAGGAGCCACGGCACCAACUAUCAAGGACAUCAAUUCCCUAGCUCUUUAGCUAGUUUCUUUUUGGACGACAAUAAGUGUGACACGUGUGCCACAAUGGACACCUGACCACACGACUCAUCAAGUCGUACUUUGGAGUUAGCCCUACGACCCUGUGUGGACGAACAUUAAAACUACACACACAUUUUCGGACCCAGGUACGAUGGCCCACACGACCUUGUGUGGCAACUGCUCAUCCUCACCACGUGAACGCAAACGCGUGUUUAAUUAAUUUAGUUGCCACGUGUAAUUAAAUAUAGUUGCAAUGUCUAAUUACUAUAGUUGUCAUAUGUGAAUAACUUUAUUUGGCAUGUAUCAUUAAAUAUAGUUGCCAUGUGCAACUAAUUGGAGUUGUCAUGUGUGAUCAAACUAUAAUUGUCAUCUAUGGUCAAUCAUAGUUGCCGUGUGUGAUUAGCUAGUUGCCGCAUAUGCACAACUGUUGUUGCCAUCUGUCACGGUGCGAGCGUCGUGUGGGUGAAGAGCAGUUUCACCCACACGUUCGCGCGAGCGUCGUGUGUCUGUUCGGGCGAGAGGCGCCCACACGUGUGGCACUAAAUGCUAACGCCCACGCGACGAUGUGUGUGCUUACAUGGCUCUCAACCCAAAUGGCAACUGCUGUAAUAUCCGUUCAAACGAAUCGAACGGUAUCAACUGCGUUUGGGCCAUGUUAAUAAGUGUCACACGUGUGAGCGUUAUCAUUUAGUUUGUUUUUCUUGAACAUGCUACUCUACUCUACCAGUCUACCUUUGGAGUUUGCAUGGUUGGAUUGGUUAGAGGGACUGUGGUAUCCCUAACCCACCAGGGUUCAAAUUCUGGUGCUCGUAUUUAUUUCUGGAUUUAUUUCAGGAUUUCCGGCGAUGCGCAUUCAGUGGGAGGAGACGUUUCCGUCGAUGAUGAGGUGCCUACGAUGACUUCUUAAAUUUCAAGAUGAUAUGCCGGCUCAGUCUUUCGGAUGUGCUCAUAGAGGUAGGGUGUGCGUGUGUGCGUUCACAGGGGUGAGUGUAUGCGUGUGUAUAUGAGCGCUUGUGUCUGUACUGAUGUCUAAAAAAAAGUGUUGCGUACUGUAUGUCUGUAUGUGCGUGUCUGUGCUAUGGAAGGUGAGGGCCAGGUGAUGAAGGACGCAUGACACACAUCCGUAGACAGCGCAAAGUUGGCCAAGACACAACAGUGAAAUCCCUCGUGCGAGGAGCGAGCAAACCACAAGGUAUCCGUGUCGACAGGUCGAGGGCGGACGUCCGUGCAUGCGAGUGCAACAACAUAAAGAAGAUGGCGGUCGAUGAACAUGGACUACAUGCAUGCAUGCACACGCAUGGUGCACGGCAGCGACCAAGUCCGGCGUGAAGAGAAGGGAUAAUGGCAUCUCCAAUCCAAUCCGUCAAAACAGGCAUAUCCGUGAAUAGGACAUGGGAAGAAGUUUAUCCAAAGCUAUCUAAAAAAAUUCCCAUUUAUUGUGAAACUCCCUUUGUUGUGUGUUGUGCGGCGGAGAGAGAUGACAGAGAGAGACGACAUGGUUGUUUAUGGUUGGACAUGCGGAUGUUCCAGGGUGGUGCCCCGAGUUCCUCAUUGAAGAAGUGGCGAUCUGGGUCAUUGACGAGCCAUCCCGCGCUUGGCCCGGCCAGCGUCCACUCCAUGGGCGCGUACACCAUCAACGGAGGAGGCGGCAGUUUGGCGGCACCCGUGGUGAUGUUGCAGGUAGAGGCAUCAUGCUCACAUUCGACGCCGACCUCGACAACGACUUCUGGCACGGCAACGACCUGUUUGUCGACGAGAGUUGGUCCAAUAAAAUUCUCAUGGCGUAUGGUCGGGGCAAUUUCCCUGGGCUCAGCUGCCCUGGUAUUUGGCCCUAGUGCUCCAGGGGGAGUGGCAGCGGUGCACCAAGUGGUAGUCACGAUGGUGGUGUUGGUGAUGGGCAUGGUGAUAGCGGAGGCGGCGCUUCUCCCGGAGAUACUGCAACACCGGGUGACUUGGCUGCCUCUUAUAGCCAAGCAUACAAUGCGUUUGACUCCGACACGACACAUAUCCUACCCACAGUACAACACAAGUCCAAACGUAACCCGACUCGCACUGUCGCACAUAAUAUUCGACACAAACUGAACACUCAUCAUAAAAUGUCAGUAUAACCUUAAAAAAACACAAACAGUCAUUAGACUUUCUCAGAAAAUAAACUAACUGUCAGCGACAGCCAGAUUCUCCCUUCUCCGUUGAAACCUCCCCACUUUCCCAUCUCAAGUUGCACUUACAGUUGCAGUAUCACACUUCAGACAUAAGCAGCUUGGGCCCUCUACAGACUACUGCUGAUUACUCUGAUACGGAACUACCGCUCACAAAAAAAAAA